GAUGUACAGCUGGUCUGUCUGUAUUCUGCAUUUCUUCAACUUGGCAAAUUCCAUCCAUGUUCUCUUUCUUUUUCCACAUUUCAGGUAAAAGUCAUUCAUAGAGGGAACUCAACGCAGCAGAGAAUGAUGCUCUUUGACUGGAAGCAGAACAUUAGAGGAGGAACUGAAGCAGAAGCUGUGGAGGAAUAGGCUCUCUGGCUUGUAAUUUUUGGCUUACUCAAUUACAUUUCUUUUAUAGUGGAGGGCCACCUGCCCAGGAAUGGCAUUUGUCACAGUUGUCUGUAACCCCCUGUAUCAACCGGCAGUUAAAAACAUGACUCACAGAUUUGCUCACAUCCCAAUUCCAUGGAGCAAUUUCUCAAUUGAAGUUCCCCUUUCCUAUGUGAUUCUAGUUUGUGCCAAGUUGACUAAGCAAAUACAUAAAUAAUCAAUACAGAAGACAAAAGUGAAGACUACCCUGGGAGUUCUGUCUACAUCCCUGACUUCCUUUUCCCUACAUCCCCAUUGUUGUGGAUUUGGUUUAUUGUUUGCAUUACGUUAAUUGGUUUCCCAAAGUUAUAUAAGAGUCUGCACUUCUACAUGUAGGACACUGAGGGUCCUUGUCCCCAGUUGGUUCUAAUUGGUAAAUAAAGUUCCCAUCAGUGAAUAUCUGAACAGGGAGACAGAGAUGAGACUUUAGAUUUCCCAGGGAAUGGAAACCCAGGGAAGAAGGAUUUAGUACCAUCAUACCAAGGAAGCACAAGGAUCAGGCUUGAAAGCUGCAGAAGAGAGAGCUGAUACAAUCAUGAAAAAGUCAGGGAAGAGUAGCUCCAGCCACCCCCCCCCAACCCUCAAUUUGAUCUAGAAUAACAAAGAUGGAAUAUAGAUUUUAAUAAGCAAUAAUUCAGGAAUAUUGGAGGGGAGGUGUUAGCAAUGUGGAAGUUUGGAUAUGCCCGAGCCAUUGAGCUGAUUAAGGCUUAUUAAAUAUAAUGCUGCAUGUGUGUGUGUGUGUGUGUGUGUGUGUGUGUGUGUAUCUUUCAUUGCAGAAUCCAGAACAUUAGGAGAGCAAGGGAGCCCUGUGCUGACAGCAGGUGAUUAGAGCAGAUUAAUCAACUACAGCUACACUUAUCUCUCUCUUCCUCUUCUCUUCAUCUGGGUCUCUGACAGGAGAACUUAUUUAUUGUUAGUUUUAUCGUGUACCAAUAAAUGUGUUUUUCCUUCACAUAAUAAUGCUUCAAGGUUUUACUAUAUUUCACAGUGGAAAAACUGUUACAAAAGAAACUGGAAUGAAAUUUAAAAGUGGCAUCUGAAUUAGGACUAUUGAACAUGGGCAUUAAACGGGGCAUGGGCUUGGGUAUUGUAGCGAUACCCGAUUCUCAUAAUUAUAACUGAAAAUAAAUUGUUUUUAAACAAUUUCAAAUGUUAUUUGGACAUGAAUAGUGUGUUUCCAUCUGUUAACUAUAUUUACAAAGUAAUAUGUAUUUAAAAUGUCAAACAAAGAGUAUGUGGAUUUUAAAAAGUUAUCUUAUACAUAGUAUUUAAAUUGUUUUAUGUUUUCAGUAAGUCAUGGAACACAACUGCUAUGCAAUGUCCAUCCAGAAAAACAGGGAGGAAUUUCUGACAUCUGCAUGCUGAUUUCUAUAAACAUUAAAAUAAUUCUGGAGAAGAUAAGCUUAA